GUAGGGAAUUUUCCACAAUGGGCGAAAGCCUGAUGGAGCAAUGCCGCGUGCAGGAUGAAUGUCUUCGGAUUGUAAACUGCUUUUAUGAGGGAAGAUUAUGACGGUACCUCAUGAAUAAGCCUCGGCUAACUCCGUGCCAGCAGCCGCGGUCAUACGGAGGAGGCAAGCGUUAUCCGGAAUUAUUGGGCGUAAAGAGAUGCGUAGGUGGUCUACUAAGCAAAGUGUGAAAUCUUGUGGCUCAACCAUAAGGCUAUGCUUUGAACUAUUAGACUAGAGCACGAUAGAGGUAACUGGAAUUCCUAGUGUAGGAGUGAAAUCCGUAGAUAUUAGGAGGAACACCAAUGGCGAAGGCAGGUUACUGGAUCGUUGCUGACACUAAGGCUCGAAAGCGUGGGGAGCGAACGGGAUUAGAAACCCUAGUAGUCC
rnacentral:rRNA from 1 species